CCACUCAAUAAGAGAUGGACAUCCUUGCUGCACUUGAUGAAAUGAAGUCUAUGAAGUCCAGACAUGCAACCAUGAACAUAGAUGCGAUGUUGGAGGCCUUUCAGCUCAUUUUAAAAAAAGAGAAGAAUAUAGAAGAAGACUCUAAGGUUUCUCAUCUUGAGUUAGCAGAGAGAACUUUUGCACCAUUGGACGAUCAUCGGAGGUCGGAUUCGUGACGAUUAGCAUGAGGUGGUUCGAACGAUGUAUUUUAUGUCUUGAACGGUGAUCGGAGACGGCGGUCGACACGGUGGUCACCGGUUUUCGCUUGUCGCAGAUGAAGGUUCUUUGUUUACCUUCAGAGAACGACUUGAAAAAAAAAUGAGAAUUGGCGAAAGCUGCGUUAAAAUGAAGUGUGAAAUGAAUGAAUGGCAGUGUACAUGGCUUUGGAAAGAAAAAAAAAAGAGGGUGCACGUGAUUUUUGGGGUUGUUAUUAAAGUGAGAAGGAGAAAUUGCAAGAUUGUCCGUGUUCGUUAGAAAAAGAUUGGAAGCUAG